rnacentral:rRNA from 1 species
CAGCAGCCGCGGUAAUACGAAGGGGGCUAGCGUUGUUCGGAUUUACUGGGCGUAAAGCGCACGUAGGCGGACUUUUAAGUCAGGGGUGAAAUCCCGGGGCUCAACCCCGGAACUGCCUUUGAUACUGGGAGUCUUGAGUUCGAGAGAGGUGAGUGGAAUUGCGAGUGUAGAGGUGAAAUUCGUAGAUAUUCGCAGGAACACCAGUGGCGAAGGCGGCUCACUGGCUCGAUACUGACGCUGAGGUGCGAAAGCGUGGGGAGCAAACAGGAUUAGAUACCCCUGUAGUCCCUGUCUCUUAUAA